rnacentral:pre_miRNA from 1 species
UAGGGAAAGGGAAAGAGAGCUGGCGAAAAAUUGGGCCAGGAGUGCUCCUGACCCAAUUUUUCGCCAGCUCCCUUUCCCUUUCCCUA